CUUGGUCUACCUGACCUUGGCUUGGAAUCAAGAGAUCCCCGAAUUUUCCACUUCUUAAUAAGUGACUGAACAGUACUGACUGGCAUUUUCAAGGCUUUGGAUAUCUUUUUAUAUCCUUUUCCAUCUUUAUAAAGUUCCAUUACCUUGUUACGCAGGUCUUUUGACAGUUCUUUUCUGCUCCCCAUGGCUCAGUAUCUAGCCUGCUCAGUGCAUCCACGUGAGAGCUAACAAACUCAUUGACUAUUUAUACACAGACACUAAUUGCAAUUUAAAAAGCCACAGGUGUGGGAAAUUAACCUUUAAUUGCCAUUUAAACCUGUGUGUGUCACCUUGUGUGUCUGUAACAAGGCCAAACAUUCAAGGGUAUGUAAACUUUUGAUCAGGG